rnacentral:lncRNA from 1 species
ACCACUGAGUGUAAACAUUAAUUAUUCCCCACUUGUGUGAAUCUGGGUUGACUAACGCUUUCCCAUUAGCUUAAGGUAUUGUAAAGUCUGGCCUUACCUAGUUUAAAAUCUCUAUUCUCUCUCCCUCCCUUUUCCCCCUCUCUUUCCCCUAUCUCCUUUCCCCACUUCUCUCUCCUUCCUCUCUCGAGGUUGAGUCUUGUUCAGGCCCAGAAACCUGUAGUGGAGAAACGGAGUGAGUUGAUUUCCUGUUUCUGUCCUUUGAUUCUCUUCUCCCUUCCCGCCCCCAGGCCCUUGUAGACUCUGGCUCUUCAAGAUUGAGGGGAGAAAGGAAGCAGAGAUAAUGGUCAGUGUUUAGAGACCAGCAUUGUUAGCGGGCACUCUGGGUGUAGCUGCUGUCCAUGUGCUGGGUCUUUGUUUUGUGGGUAAUAUGGGCUGUUGGGAACCUGACUGACAGAAAUCUCCCAUCUGCAGCCUCUUUGCUUUUGCUUUAGGUCAGGAGUUGGCAAACUACAUACAGCUCAUGGGCCAAAUCCAGCCCAGCACCUGUUUUUGUGUGGCCUGAAGGCUAAGAGUGAUUUAUACAUUUGUAAAUGGUUGAGAAAAAAAGAAGAAUGUUUAGUGACAUAAAAAUUAUGCGAAAUACAAAUUUCAGUUUCCAUAAAAUUUUAUUGGAAUAUAGCCAGAAACAUUAUUUGCUUAUAGUUUUCAAAUGCAUGCGUUAAGAGAUAAAAAUUAAUGAGCUUAUGUAUUUGUCAAAAGUCCUACAUUUUAAGGCACAAAGGGUGAACCCUUAGUGUAUACACUUUUUUAUUUUAUUUUAUUUUUUUGAGGUAGAGUUUCACUCAGUCUCCAGGCUGGAGUGCAGUGGCACGAUCUCGGCUCACUGCAGCCUCCACCUCCCGGAUUCAAGCACUUCUUCUGCCUCAGCCUCCCGAGUAGCUGGGUUUACACGCGUGGGCCACCACACCCGGCUAAUUUUGGUAUUUUUAGUAUAUAUAGAGUUUCACCAUGUUGGCCAGGCUGGUCUCAAAUUCCCAACCUCAGGUGAUCCUCCUGCCUUGGCCUCCUAAAGCACUGCGAUUACAGGCCUGAGCCACUGUGCCCGGCCCAAUGUAUACACAUUUUAAACAGUCAUUUAGGAGGUCGGAGAUCCCAGGAUGAAAUGCAGAGUGACAAAAAGUUUUUAAAUUUUUUGCUUUUUACCCCUGUAAUUCUAGUGAAAUGAAAUGCAUAUACUUUGGUUUUUGUUGUUGAUUUUUUUUUUCAGAAAUGCUGCUGUGGAUUUAGCUGAUGCACACUCUUCACCACCUCCCAUACUUCAAUGCUUUUUUCACUUUUUUUGGUUGAAUUACUAUAUGGUUUGUUAUUACUCUUACAAAUGAGCUAGCCAGGGUAGUAUGAUUGCAUUUUCUUUCCUAUACAAACCUUUUGUUUUCCCUGAAGUUAAUUGAUUUAUAUUUUGUUUUCUUAGUUUUUCUCUGUACUGAUCAUCCAGACAUCCAGAGAACUGGGAGCUCUUUUCCAGAUGGAUUCAGACACACCCAGUGUUUUGUCAUUUGGAAGUCAGUUGGGAGUCAUCGGCUCAGUCGUAAUUUGGGGACUUCCCUUUAACAUCUGUCUGGAAAUUUCCUUCCUCUUUUCAUGUGUCUCCAUCUCACAUAUCCUUCUGUCUGAUAUGUAGCUUAGUGACUGCCAUUCUGAAGCCUACUCUCUCGGGUUCAAAUCCUGACUCAUAACCAGAUGUAUGUCCUUGGCCAAGUCAUUUAACCUCUUUGUGCCAGAGUUUCCAAUCUGAAUGUUGGCAAUAAUAAUCUUACACACCUCAAAGUGUUGUUUUAAAAAUUACAUGAGCAGAUAGAUAAAUAAAAGGGCUGUGCGUGCCGUAGGUGCACAAUAAUGUUUGCUGUUUUUGUUAUUGUUAGUGGUGGAGAAUAUCCACCACUAACAAUAACACCACUUCCAGAAACAGGUGUAGCUUCCUGAAAAAAGGGUUCAUGGGAAGAAAAAAAUUUCAUCAUUUCUUGAAAAUACAUUCAUGCUACCCUUGCUCUUUCUUUAAUUAUAAUUUGGCUGGAUUUGCAUUCUGGAUUGGAAAUUCUUUCCGAAUUUUAAAGACGUGCUUGAUUGUUUAAUAGAGCCUCUGCAUUUUAUUGGGCACUUAGCCUGGAAGCUCAAGUCCUUAACAUCUGGAAAAUGUUCUUACUUAUUUUGACAAUUUUCUUCGCACCAUUUUUCUCUUUUUUUAUUUACUGUCUUAUUGUUUUUCCUCUUGGGGGAUUUCCUCUACUUAUCUCCUACCUUGCUCUUACCAUAGUGUUUUUUUUUUUUAGAGACGGAGUUUCGCUCUUGUUGCCCAGACUGGAGUGCAAGGGCGUGAUCUCGGCUCACCGCAACCCCUGCCUCCCGGGUUCAAGCGAUUCUCCCGCCUCAGCCUCCCGAGUAGCUGGGAUUGCAGGCAUGCGCCACCACGUCUGGCUGAUUUUGUAUUUUUAGUAGAGAUGGGGUUUCUCCAUGUUGGUCAGGCUGGUCUUGAACUUCCGACCUCAGGUAAUCUGCCCGCCCUGGCCUCCCAAAGUGCUGGGAUGACAGGCAUGAGGCACCGAGCCCGGCCACCAUAGUUUUAAUUGUUACAAGCAAUGUCUUAGCUUUUGAAUGUCUUUUUGAAUUCUCCCUGGACAAAAUGUUCAUUCUUAUUGCUAGAUACAUUAACUGUAGUUUUUUUUUUUUUUGAGAUGGAGUCUUCUCGCUCUGUCGUCCAGGCUGGAGUGCAGUGGCGCGAUCUCGGCUCACUGCAAGCUCCGCCUCCCAGGUUCACGCCAUUCUCCUGCCUCAGCCUCCCGAGUAGCUGGGACUACAAGCACCUGCCACGUUGCCUGGUUAAUUUUUUGUAUUUUUAGUAGAGACGGGGUUUCACCGUGUUAGCCAGGAUGGUCUUGAUCUCCUGACCUCGUGAUCUGCCUGCCUCGGCCUCCCAAAGUGCUGGGAUUACAGGCGUGAGCCACCAUGCCUGGCCUAACCGUAGUAUUUUUGAAGUUUUGUUUUGCUCACUGCAUUAUCUCUAUUUUCUUCAUGUUUCUUUUACUGUGUAUUGUUUUUGGUUUCUAAUUUUAAACACUCUCAAAUGUCUGGAAACAGCCUUCUCAUUUUUUUUUUUUUUUUUGAGCCGGGAGUUUCACUCUUGUUGCCCAGGCUGGAGUGCAGUGGCAUGAUCUCAGCUCACUGCAAUCUCCACUUCCCAGGUUCAAGCAGUUCUCCUGCCUCAGCCUCCCAAGUAGCUGGGAUUACAGGCAUGCGCCACCAUGCCUGGCUAAUUUUUUGUGUUUUUAAUAGAGAUGGUGUUUUACCAUGUUGGCCUGGCUGAUCUUGAACUCCUGACCUCAACUGAUCCACCCGCCUCGGCCUCCCAAAGUGCUGGGAUUACAGGCGUGAGCCACCGCGCCUGGCAGCCUUCUCACAUUUUUAAGUGAGACACUUAAAGCUGACUGCAAAAUUUUCAUACAUGAAUAGAGCUAGUCCUUUGGUGGGCUUCACUGUUGGGUGAUCACAUAGGAAGGAGUCAUUUUGUUGGGGGUGCUCUAUGUUGGUAUUUGUAGACCAUAAAAAAUGGGAACUGUUGGACCAUAAGUAUAUUUUUAAAAACUGAAAAUUUUAAAAAGUAAUUUUAAAAAACGAGAACAACAAAAACAAGAUGCUAUCCAGAAAAGCCAGGCGGAAUUGCUAAGAACCAAAUAGAACUUUGAGAAAUCAGCUUCCCAAGGAGGAAUUCUACGUCUGGUCUCCUGCCAUGGCAUAAUUCUGGCUGCUAGCUCUUGGAAAUUGGCAUGAAAGGAAGAAAGGCGUAUCACAUUGUUCAGUUUGCUGACUUGCUGUUUGUUUGAUUAUUUGUUUAUUAUUGUAAUAAAACACAUGUAGCAAA